rnacentral:rRNA from 1 species
AGAGUUUGAUCAUGGCUCAGAUUGAACGCUGGCGGCAGGCCUAACACAUGCAAGUCGAACGGUAACAGGAAACAGCUUGCUGUUUCGCUGACGAGUGGCGGACGGGUGAGUAAUGUCUGGGAAACUGCCUGAUGGAGGGGGAUAACUACUGGAAACGGUAGCUAAUACCGCAUAACGUCGCAAGACCAAAGAGGGGGACCUUCGGGCCUCUUGCCAUCGGAUGUGCCCAGAUGGGAUUAGCUUGUUGGUGGGGUAACGGCUCACCAAGGCGACGAUCCCUAGCUGGUCUGAGAGGAUGACCAGCCACACUGGAACUGAGACACGGUCCAGACUCCUACGGGAGGCAGCAGUGGGGAAUAUUGCACAAUGGGCGCAAGCCUGAUGCAGCCAUGCCGCGUGUAUGAAGAAGGCCUUCGGGUUGUAAAGUACUUUCAGCGGGGAGGAAGGGAGUAAAGUUAAUACCUUUGCUCAUUGACGUUACCCGCAGAAGAAGCACCGGCUAACUCCGUGCCAGCAGCCGCGGUAAUACGGAGGGUGCAAGCGUUAAUCGGAAUUACUGGGCGUAAAGCGCACGCAGGCGGUUUGUUAAGUCAGAUGUGAAAUCCCCGGGCUCAACCUGGGAACUGCAUCUGAUACUGGCAAGCUUGAGUCUCGUAGAGGGGGGUAGAAUUCCAGGUGUAGCGGUGAAAUGCGUAGAGAUCUGGAGGAAUACCGGUGGCGAAGGCGGCCCCCUGGACGAAGACUGACGCUCAGGUGCGAAAGCGUGGGGAGCAAACAGGAUUAGAUACCCUGGUAGUCCACGCCGUAAACGAUGUCGACUUGGAGGUUGUGCCCUUGAGGCGUGGCUUCCGGAGCUAACGCGUUAAGUCGACCGCCUGGGGAGUACGGCCGCAAGGUUAAAACUCAAAUGAAUUGACGGGGGCCCGCACAAGCGGUGGAGCAUGUGGUUUAAUUCGAUGCAACGCGAAGAACCUUACCUGGUCUUGACAUCCACGGAAGUUUUCAGAGAUGAAUUGGUGCCUUCGGGAACUGUGAGACAGGUGCUGCAUGGCUGUCGUCAGCUCGUGUUGUGAAAUGUUGGGUUAAGUCCCGCAACGAGCGCAACCCUUAUCCUUUGUUGCCAGCGGUCCGGCCGGGAACUCAAAGGAGACUGCCAGUGAUAAACUGGAGGAAGGUGGGGAUGACGUCAAGUCAUCAUGGCCCUUACGACCAGGGCUACACACGUGCUACAAUGGCGCAUACAAAGAGAAGCGACCUCGCGAGAGCAAGCGGACCUCAUAAAGUGCGUCGUAGUCCGGAUUGGAGUCUGCAACUCGACUCCAUGAAGUCGGAAUCGCUAGUAAUCGUGGAUCAGAAUGCCACGGUGAAUACGUUCCCGGGCCUUGUACACACCGCCCGUCACACCAUGGGAGUGGGUUGCAAAAGAAGUAGGUAGCUUAACCUUCGGGAGGGCGCUUACCACUUUGUGAUUCAUGACUGGGGUGAAGUCGUAACAAGGUAACCGUAGGGGAACCUGCGGUUGGAUCACCU